rnacentral:rRNA from 1 species
CGGAAUCUGCCUAUUUGUGGGGGAUAACGUAGGGAAACUUACGCUAAUACCGCAUACGACCUACGGGUGAAAGCGGAGGACCUUCGGGCUUCGCGCAGAUAGAUGAGCCGAUGUCGGAUUAGCUAGUUGGCGGGGUAAAGGCCCACCAAGGCGACGAUCCGUAGCUGGUCUGAGAGGAUGAUCAGCCACACUGGAACUGAGACACGGUCCAGACUCCUACGGGAGGCAGCAGUGGGGAAUAUUGGACAAUGGGCGCAAGCCUGAUCCAGCCAUGCCGCGUGGGUGAAGAAGGCCCUCGGGUUGUAAAGCCCUUUUGUUGGGAAAGAAAAGCAGUCGGUUAAUACCCGAUUGUUCUGACGGUACCCAAAGAAUAAGCACCGGCUAACUUCGUGCCAGCAGCCGCGGUAAUACGAAGGGUGCAAGCGUUACUCGGAAUUACUGGGCGUAAAGCGUGCGUAGGUGGUUUGUUAAGUCUGAUGUGAAAGCCCUGGGCUCAACCUGGGAAUUGCAUUGGAUACUGGCAGGCUAGAGUGCGGUAGAGGGUAGUGGAAUUCCCGGU